AUGCCAAAUGGGGAAAUCAUCGCUGUCAAAAAGAACGUGUCAUCAUUUAUGCCAGGCCUGCAGAAGCAAUUCGAGAGCGAGGUCUGUCAUCUUAUGAUGCUUCAGCACCCCAAUAUAGUGCGAUGCGUAGGCUACUGCUAUGAUUUACGGCGUGCAUGUUUGCCGUACCAUGGAAAAUACGUUUUUGCAGAGACUGCUGAAAGGUUACUUUGCUUGGAAUAUAUGCCAAAGGGAAGCCUUGAUGAGUAUCUAUCAGAUAAAUCUACUAGACAUGAUUGGGGAACACGUUACAGUAUAAUCAAGGGAAUUUGCUAUGGGUUAUGCCAGCUUCAUGAAGAAAUUGAUAAGCCUAUUAUUCACCUUGAUUUGAAACCUGCAAACAUAUUGCUCGAUGACGUCAUGACACCAAAAAUCACAGACUUCGGUCUGUCAAGACUACUUGACCAACAAGAAACUAUUUGCACAUCAUCACGCCAUGGAACAUUUGGUUACAUGGCACCAGAAUUUUUACAUGGAGGUACAAUUACACCAAAGUCAGACAUAUUCAGUUUGGGUGUAAUAAUCUUGGAGGUAAUAACAGGACGUAGGGACUACCCAGACGUUACGACAACACCUCCAGAUGACUUUAUCGACUUUACACUUGAUAAACAUAGACAUGUGUUGCAGAGAUUUCCUGGGCAUGUAUCCCUACAAACAGAUUGUGAACAAAUAAAGAGAUGCAUCCAGGUAGGUAUGAUAUGUGUGAAUCCUGACCGCACCAAGAGGCCUCACAUAAAAAGGGUCAUCAGGAUGCUCCAAGGAUCAGAGAGUAUCGACUACACCAUUAGCAUCAAGGCAAUGUAA
rnacentral:rRNA from 1 species